CCGGUUAAUUUAAAAGAGAUCGGAUGAGAGUUCUUAUCCGAUUCUCACAUCAAACCUUAACCUGUACGUAAAAUAAUCCCAAAACCAAGAUGAUUCGCGACACCAACUCACUGAGGUUGUCUCAUUUACUUGUGUAUCUGGGUGAUCCAAAUUCAGUGAGAAAUCAAAUGUUCCUUUAGCCAAAAGGAUUAACAUUCCCAUU
rnacentral:misc_RNA from 1 species